rnacentral:rRNA from 1 species
AGCAUAUCAAUAAGCGGAGGAAAAGAAACCAACAGGGAUUGCCCCAGUAACGGCGAGUGAAGCGGCAACAGCUCAAAUUUGAAAUCUGGCCUUCGGGUCCGAGUUGUAAUUUGGAGAGGAUGCUUUUGGCGCGGCGCCGUCCGAGUUCCUUGGAACAGGACGCCAUAGAGGGUGAGAGCCCCGUACGGGCGGCCGCCUAGCCUUUGUAAAGCUCCUUCGACGAGUCGAGUAGUUUGGGAAUGCUGCUCAAAAUGGGAGGUAAAUUUCUUCUAAAGCUAAAUACCGGCCAGAGACCGAUAGCGCACAAGUAGAGUGAUCGAAAGAUGAAAAGCACUUUGAAAAGAGGGUUAAAAAGUACGUGAAAUUGUUGAAAGGGAAGCGCCUGUGACCAGACUUGCGACCCGUGGAUCAUCCGGUGUUCUUCACCGGUGCACUCCGCGGGCUGCAGGCCAGCAUCGGUUUUGCUAGGGGGAUAAAGGUCGCAGGAACGUAGCUCUUUCGGGAGUGUUAUAGCCUGUGGCGUCAUGCCUCUGGGGAGACCGAGGACCGCGCUUCGGCAAGGAUGCUGGCGUAAUGGUCACCGGCGACCCGUCUUGAAACACGGACCAAGGAGUCAAGCAUUGGGGCGAGUGUCUGGGUGCCAAACCCGCACGCGAAAUGAAAGUAAACGCAGGUGAGAGCUUCGGCGCAUCACCGACCGAUCCUGAUGUCUUCGGAUGGAUUUGAGUAAGAGCCUUACCGCUUGGACCCGAAAGAUGGUGAACUAUGCCUGUAUAGGGUGAAGCCAGAGGAAACUCUGGUGGAGGCUCGCAGCGGUUCUGACGUGCAAAUCGAUCGUCAAAUAUGGGCAUGGGGGGCGAAAGACUAAUCGAACCAUCUAGUAGCUGGUUACCGCCG